ensembl:lncRNA
GUCAGAAGUAAAUUAACUUAAAUCUUAUACAACUGGAUAAGUGUUUACCUAUCAGUUGAAACUUUUUCUUAGGCCUCGUAGUUUUGAGGGGGGUUUAUAAUGGUAUUUUAACCAUGUGAAACAUUUUGUCUUUCAGGGUGGAGAUGUAAUGCUCUUCAUACUCAAAUGUACAUGCUUGAGGGUGCAUCGAGAUGGAACAUUAACCGGGCUCAUCAGGCUGUGGACAUGAGUGGUACAUCACAUACUAAAAUCUAUGAUGUACGUUUAAUGUCCCACAUGAACGUCCUCAGCAACAGAGUCCUCGGAUGUACUCUCCUGCCAGAAUUCAUGCCCCCUGGGAAACCCACUGAUGAACGUAUAGCUGUGGAGUACUUGCUGGCGCAGUCUGACAGAGGAGACCUGCUUUCUCCACUGGAGCAUGUUGAAAUCACUCCACCAGAGACGCAGGUUGACGUUCAGCAGGAUGAGUGUCUGGAUGUUACAAUAUGUGAUGCAGCAGACAUCAAUUUAGAUGCACACACCCAUGGCAGUUCCAGCAGUCAUGAUGAUUCAUUGAUCUCCUCUCUGGAAACCAGUCUUCCAAGUGGUGGCGCUUACAGUCCUGAUAUUGAAGACAUUUCCUGCGCUGGGCCCAGCACAUCAGCUCUGGACAGUAGAUGUGAUUCAAGGGGUGUUCCUGGAUGGGAGGCAGUGGAUAACCUGGCAGGGUACCUCGUCAGCCUCAACCGCACUAUCACUGCUUUGUCAACCAACGAGAUAGCAGAGAUUUUGCGGUUGUAUUGGUGUCUGCAUGCCAUUGAUCGGUCUCCCUCCACGUAUUCCCUUAAGUGCAAGAAAAAUGUCUUGCCAGGUCGCUGGAGAGCUUCUCGGAAGCGUAGUGGCUCAGCCCCUGGUCAGCAAGCGGCUGAGAGACUGUUCAUGACCCAUGGCCAGGCUGCCCAGAGACCUGAUGUCAACAGGAUUUCAGAAUGCGUCACACUCAAGCUUUUGAAGGAAUUCAGGGAAGCCAGAAACAGGCCUAAAGACAACAAGGGCAAAAUCUUCCCAAUUCCUCAGGCAACUGUGAUGACGUAUAGUCACAUCAAGCAGCUGCUUGAAGACUGCAGAGAAGUGCUGGACAAGACCAACUUGGUGCUAGUUACGAUCAACAAUACUACAGUAUCAUCUUGGCUUUUAGACCGACAGAAAAGAACUGAUCGGGACACUUUGUUGCAAGAAGUGAAGCUUCCCCAGCAGGUUGAUUUGGCGACUGAGCCACUACCAAAGCCUAAAGUGCUCCCAUCAGCACCUGUUGAACAUAAGCAUGUUCCCAUUGAAUUCCAGGAGCCUGAAAAUUGGGAGGGUGAGGCAGUUAUUCUGCAACGAAAAUAUGCGCGAACUGGAACUGCAGCAUCUUCAAUUGUACACACACACACUGGGCUAGGAGGCGCAUUUCCAUCUGGCACUCCUGCAGCACACAAAAAAUUUUUCUGGCCUGGGGCUCAACACUUUCCUGGGUGGCAUACCUGGCCUGAUUGGUCUUUUCUGCCGUAUCCACCAUCAGCUCCACCACUGCCUCAGGGAUGGUCUUCCCUUCCACCAGGCCAACAGCCAUCAGCUCCACCACCUCCUCAGAACCGAAAAAGUGCUUGGAGACUGCACAAGGCAGCUCUUGAGGAUCAGGUGGCAAGAGGGGAGCCACCAAAGAAGCGUCACACAAAAGAACAUUACCAUUACCAGUGUAAAACAUGUGGCCACACAAAAAGCAAACUUACUUGCCAUUCCCAGGUAAAAGGAAAGUGGUACUGUCCAGCAUCUGGUCAGACAAUUACAGAGUGGAAAGACUCUCUUUAGGUUUUAUUUUGUCUUUAAUUUCAU